AUGAAAUAGAACAAAGAACCUUAAAGACUCCAGGACACAGCCUGGGGGAGCUACACCCUGCCAAGGGGAGCAGCACAGAGGCUCCCCAAAUCCCUCCAGUCCCACAGCAUCUGCAGUGCCCGUGAAACACUGAGGGAGGGGGAACAGACCCUUGAUUUGUUCAGUUACUGCAAUUGCUACAAGCACCUGGAAAACGACAGGCUCAGAUUUCCAGAUCACCACAAAACUGCACUGAUACCAUUUCAGUGACCUCCAUCACCCCACAGGCAGAGACACAGAAGCUUAUUCAGUAGUUUAGUCCAUGAUAAAGAAGAGUAGGUACAGCUCAGAGAGAAGUACUGGAGCUCUGAAAUCCUUUUACACACAUUUUGGGAUAAGAGGUGAAAGCUGAAGCCAUUCAGUCUGAACACCAGAGAUGUCUCUCCUUAGGGCAGUGCCUGAAACACAAGGCUUCUCCAAAGUGGAGAGUUGUGAAGCAUCAAAGCCUUUCAUGCUGUGCAAUACAGAGCAGCAGCCCUUAAUUCUGCAUUCCCAGCCCCUGCUGGAACUUGGAGCACAGGACCUACAGACAGAAAUGGCUUUAGAGGACAGAGCUGGCAGGAACAAGGAGCAGGAGGCAGAGAGAACAUGAAGAUUUGAUCUUCCUCCCAGCAUUUUGAGAGGAUCACUGAUGCUCCCCAGAGGACUGUCUGUCUGCAAGGGAGCUGGUCAGAGAGGGCAGCAGGUACUCCCAAGGGCAGCUUCAUUUGUCAGUGGGUGGGCUGGGAGCAGAGAUCAGGGCUGGUAAACUCGAGAAGAUGGUGCCUGGAAGCGUGUGCUGGAAAGCAGAACAGUGCAGGGAAAAACAGGGCUGGAGAGAGAUGGGAAUAAGGUGACUCAGUGGAGAGAGGUCGCAGAGAAGGACACAGGAGGAGUUUUCAGAAACAGAGGAGUUCUACAGAAAAAAGAAUUUAGCAGAGCCCUGACCAGGUCUGUGUUUACCUCACAAACCUGGUGUGCAUCCCAAAGAACAGUGCAACCCCAGCCUCAGGAAGUGCCCAUCUAGGACCACAGAGUCAUCAGUGUUGGAGAAAACCUCCCAGAUCAUCACAUCCAACCUGGAGCCAAAAUCCAGGAGCAGUCAUACGGGAUGUGUCCUGAAUCCACGCUCUGAUGCCCAGAAGGAAAAACCCUGUGCACCAGCAAGAUCCCUCCCUGGAAUGGUUGUGGAAGGAAUGGUCCUGAUACCUCUGUGUCACAUCAGCUUGGAAUCCAACCUUAUUUGCCCUGAUGGAUGUGUUCAUGCCUAAAGCUGCACUCAGGAAAUCCAUCAGCCUAUGGCUGUCAGCAGAGUUCUUAACAGAGACACACGACAGCCCUGAGCAGGCACAUCCCAGACUCACAUGAUGGCCCUGAAAUCCCAUCAGGAGCAGCUCCAUGUGCUGAUACAACCACAGGGAAAGGGAUGUUCUUUACACAUUAAAGAAGAUUGCCCUAGGGGACAUCUGAGUGUGCUUCAAGGACUCCCAGGCCAGCAGGAGUCAGGAAGGCAGGAGGCAGCAGGAUCCCGCUGCUCCCUCCCAGACUGCCUGCAGACAGUGAAUCAGAUCCUGCAGCAUCCCACUCAGCAGCCCAUGGGUGUCAUCCACCCUCCAGCCCCGCAGAUGGGAAACCCCCGGGGUCCCCAGAUUGGGAAUGUGACCCAGACAUGGAGCCAGGUACAUGAAUUAAUACCAGAAUGUGUGUUGGGUUUCUUUAAUGAGGGCACAAGGAGGAUAAUUGUGGGUUAUUGUGCUGCAGGCUGGUCUGGGGGAGUGAAUUGCUACUGGUGCCCAUACAGAUCUGUGCUGCCUGGAGUAGUGAGGGACAUUUAGGGUGACCAGAGGGGUGUAAAGUGCCACAUGGCAUCAACAUCCUCAUUUAUCCAGGAAAGCCAGGACAGCUUACUCCUUUAUCUUAACAAUCCAUGGACUUUGGGAAAGAAACUUCUUAUUUCCAGGAUGGCAGAAACACAUCCCAGCAGUGCAAAGAAAAAUCCCACUCACCUGCAAAAAACAAUCCCAGUGGGACAUGUUUUACUUUAAACUGGGAUACUUAAGGCAGAAUUGAAAGAACUCUGCACAGGGCUGAGAGUGUUCAGUGUGUUUUUCUCUCAUGAAAGAUGCAAGAACAUAUUUGUUUUUUGAAAUAAGCUGGGAGAUAAGUGAAUCCACGGAUCUAUGAUGGAUGAGCUGCCAGGACAGUGCUGAACUCUCUGAUACUGAAAGACUCACAAACAGCACACCAUUAAAAUUCAGAGGGAGCAGUCGUGGAGUGUAUCGAUCCAUGGAAUAACAACAUCCUGAGAAGGAGCUGUUUGUAGUUUUAGAAUCUAGAAUCACCUGGAAUAAAGGAGCUGCAGUUUGGAAGAACAGCUUACAGGAACUAGCAUGGCACAAAACAUGGGCAUUAAAUGCUGCAGGGUCUGAAUGCUUAAUCGUGCACUUAGUUAAAAUCCUUGGAUGCUGAUGUGGGACCUGUUGAAUUCCCACUUCCUCAGGAACAUAAUUCAGAUUUGUUUUCUCCAGGAAAUCCAUUUUCUGCUGUGCAUAUAUACAUGUUUGCUUGUGAAUGCUGCCUCUGAUCAUCCAUCCUUCCCAUCCUCUGAGCUGCAUCCACGUUUUUCCUGAGAGCUCUCCAAGCCCUGGGGCUCCUUAGGAGCUGGACUCUGCAGACUGAUCUGUGGGCAGCUGUCCAUGCAUGAGGGCAGACAUCUCCCUGCAGAAACUCCUGCUGACCCAUCAACAGAGCAGCCCCAUGCAGAAGUGUGUCAUUAAUCCAGACAACUCAUCCUGGAAGCUCUUUCCCCAGCAGGCUGGGAGGUUUGGGAAGACAUAACAAAGUUGUAAAGCAUGAAAAAGCCCAGGAUGAAAUGCUGCUUUAAAUUAUCCAACUCCCUCUCCUGGAGGGUGCAGACAAGAGAGUGGCAACCCAGCAAGAAACCAGGACCAGCUGAGCAGAAACCAACCCCAAACCAUGUGGCUUUUCAUCUCACACUGGUGAUUACACAACUGCUGGGCUCUUAUAUAAGUAGGAAGACGAGGUUGCCUGCAAAUAAUCAAGUUAAAAUUGUGAAGGUCCAGAACUAUAAACAUCCUCCCCACUGGGAGCCCAAGAAGCCUUUUGUAAGAAGCAUGGAUCUCAUUACACUAAAAAUAUCCAAAGUGAUUAGAUUUUGUCAUGGCCCAGAAAGUUGCUCUGAGAAUCAAAGGCUGCUGAUCUCUGCCUACGGCAGGUAAAUGCAGCCUUUCCAUAAGUGACCUGGGUGCAUUCACAUUCAAAUUAACCUGGUGAGAGCUCAGAAGCAAAGAAGAAAACCCCUCGACAGACAUCAAAAGAAGCAGUGUUUUGAUUUCCUAGAUGAAACAUCAAGAUUCUGCUUAUCACUGAUAUUCAAAUAAAAUAAAAAAUCUCCCUUGUAACAGCUGGUCUUAAUUCAGCUGCUUUUUCUUGAGAAUAAUCUAAAAAUCCUGAAAUGGUCUUACUGAUAAAGAAACACCUCACAGCCUUUCACACCCCUCUGGUAGGACCUACCAUGCUACUGGGAGCUGACCUGAAGCUGAGAGGUGAGAACUCCUUAGGGCUGGAGCUCCCUCAGCCUCAUUCCUACACCUCAUCCCAGCUCAGAGCCUUCCUGAGCACCUGGAAUUUGGUCUGUGUGCAGACAAAAACAGUGCAGCACCUCUGCAGGAUGAUCCCCAGGAAGCUGAGCAGCCACAUAAUAAUGGAAUUGUUAUCCUGGCACCAUCAUUGACAUCAGCUCAGGAAGCACAGGGCACCAUCCCCAGGUUUUCCUUACUUCUGAUUAAAAUCAACAGCCUCUGGAUACCCAAAGAGCCUGUGGAAGUUUCAGGACAGCUGGAAAUCAAACACAAGGGAUCGUUACAGAGCAUUCCCAUUCCUCAAUAUUCCCUCUUCCCUAAACUGAGGAAAGUGAAAAUUAAAAUCCAACCUGGGCCACCUUUCCACAGAUCUGUGUGCAGAGUUUGUCAGGGUCUCAGUGAUCUGGUCAGUGACCCUAGGUGUGCUGCUGGAGGUUGACUCCAGGUUUUUGAGAUUCAGGCCGAUCCAUUUGCAGUUCCCCUAAAUGUACCCAGAAACAGCUCUCCAAAAGCUGAACUAGAACUCAGGAAAGGGGUAAAGCUCAAACUGGCAUAAAUCUCAGCAAAUGUGUCUGGUUCAGAUGAGCCUGGACUUGAACAUUGAGCCAAAUCUGUUUAAUCUGGAAGUGAUGCUGGAAAUCCCAUAAAGUCAGGCUUUCGUGAAAGAUUUGUAGUGCUUCCUUAUUUUCAUGUGGUCAGAAGUUACUAUAAGAAAAAAUGUCUUUUCAUGCUAUUUCAGUAUUUCAGCUUUAUGUUUGGGCCAAAAUUGAAGCUGCUUUAAUUUCAUUUUCAGUAAGCUCUAAACAGUCUAUAAAAAGAGAUUAGAUUUAGGAUGAGAUGUCAGGAUUUGUUCUACAUUCCUGAAUACAAUAUUGAUAUGCUUUUUUGUAUUUUUUCCUUAUUAAUCAAACAAUCUUUCCAUUUACCAGCAAUUUUUUUAACUGGUAUGGCCAAUGGAGUCCUCUUUUGUCCGGAUAAAAUCCACAUACAAAUUUUAGCAUCCCAGUUUGUCAAGGGACUCUCCCACCUGUCCUUUA